AAUCGGUUAGUUUUCGCGGGCUGCUGCAGGCGCUCUUAGACUCUGCGAUGUUGAACGAAGUCAGGUACCUGAAGUAGCGCGCGAAAACAUAACUA